AACGAACGCUGGCGGCAUGCCUAACACAUGCAAGUCAAACGAGAUCCUUCGGGGUCUAGUGGCGCACGGGUGCGUAACGCGUGGGAAUCUGCCCUUAGGUUCGGAAUAACAGUUAGAAAUGACUGCUAAUACCGGAUGAUGACGUUAAGUCCAAAGAUUUAUCGCCUGAGGAUGAGCCCGCGUAGGAUUAGCUAGUUGGUGUGGUAAAGGCGCACCAAGGCGACGAUCCUUAGCUGGUCUGAGAGGAUGAUCAGCCACACUGGGACUGAGACACGGCCCAGACUCCUACGGGAGGCAGCAGUGGGGAAUAUUGGACAAUGGGCGCAAGCCUGAUCCAGCAAUGCCGCGUGAGUGAUGAAGGCCUUAGGGUUGUAAAGCUCUUUUACCCGGGAUGAUAAUGACAGUACCGGGAGAAUAAGCCCCGGCUAACUCCGUG
rnacentral:rRNA from 1 species